CCUACGGGGGGCUGCAGUGGGGAAUAUUGGACAAUGGGCGAAAGCCUGAUCCAGCCAUGCCGCGUGUGUGAAGAAGGCCUUCGGGUUGUAAAGCACUUUAAGCGGGGAGGAAGGCCUUGAGGAUAAUACCCUUGAGGAUUGACGUUACCCGCAGAAUAAGCACCGGCUAACUCUGUGCCAGCAGCCGCGGUAAUACAGAGGGUGCAAGCGGUGAUCGGAACUAGUGGGCGUAAAGCGUGAGUUGGCAGGUGAAAUCCCCGGGCUCAACCUGGGCACGGCAUCCGAUACUGGCUGACUAGAGUGUGGGAGAGGAAGGUAGAAUUCCAGGUGUAGCGGUGAAAUGCGUAGAGAUCUGGAGGAAUACCGAUGGCGAAGGCAGCCUUCUGGCCUAACACUGACGCUGAGGUGCGAAAGCAUGGGGAGCAAACAGGAUUAGAUACCCGUGUAGUC
rnacentral:rRNA from 1 species